UGCGGGGGGACUACUUGUAGUUGAGAAGGUUAAAACCUGACCCUUUGAACCUGAUCACAGUUAAUACUGGCGUAGGGAAGCAUUUU
rnacentral:ncRNA from 1 species